UACAGAGGGUGCUAGCGUUGUUCGGAAUCAUUGGGCGUAAAGCGCGUGUAGGCGGCCCGAUAAGUCCGCUGUGAAAGUCCAGGGCUCAACCCUGGGAUGCCGGUGGAUACUGUCGGGCUCGAGUCCGGAAGAGGCGAGUGGAAUUCCUGGUGUAGCGGUGAAAUGCGCAGAUAUCGGUAGGAACACCAGUGGCGAAGGCGGUCUCCUGGGGCAUUCUUGACGCUGAGGCGCGAAAGCUGGGGGAGCGAACGGG
rnacentral:rRNA from 1 species